rnacentral:rRNA from 1 species
AGAUUAAGUUAUUAAGGGCGCACGGUGGAUGCCUUGGCACUAGAAGCCGAUGAAGGACGUUACUAACGACGAUAUGCUUUGGGGAGCUGUAAGUAAGCUUUGAUCCAGAGAUUUCCGAAUGGGGAAACCCAGCAUGAGUUAUGUCAUGUUAUCGAUAUGUGAAUACAUAGCAUAUCAGAAGGCAUACCCGGAGAACUGAAACAUCUUAGUACCCGGAGGAAGAGAAAGAAAAUUCGAUUCCCUUAGUAGCGGCGAGCGAAACGGGAAGAGCCCAAACCAACAAGCUUGCUUGUUGGGGUUGUAGGACACUCUAUACGGAGUUACAAAGGACGACAUUAGACGAAUCAUCUGGAAAGAUGAAUCAAAGAAGGUAAUAAUCCUGUAGUCGAAAAUGUUGUCUCUCUUGAGUGGAUCCUGAGUACGACGGAGCACGUGAAAUUCCGUCGGAAUCUGGGAGGACCAUCUCCUAAGGCUAAAUACUCUCUAGUGACCGAUAGUGAACCAGUACCGUGAGGGAAAGGUGAAAAGCACCCCGGAAGGGGAGUGAAAUAGAACCUGAAACCGUGUGCUUACAAGUAGUCAGAGCCCGUUAAUGGGUGAUGGCGUGCCUUUUGUAGAAUGAACCGGCGAGUUACGAUUUGAUGCAAGGUUAAGCAGUAAAUGUGGAGCCGUAGCGAAAGCGAGUCUGAAUAGGGCGUUUAGUAUUUGGUCGUAGACCCGAAACCAGGUGAUCUACCCUUGGUCAGGUUGAAGUUCAGGUAACACUGAAUGGAGGACCGAACCGACUUACGUUGAAAAGUGAGCGGAUGAACUGAGGGUAGCGGAGAAAUUCCAAUCGAACCUGGAGAUAGCUGGUUCUCUCCGAAAUAGCUUUAGGGCUAGCCUCAAGUGAUGAUUAUUGGAGGUAGAGCACUGUUUGGACGAGGGGCCCCUCUCGGGUUACCGAAUUCAGACAAACUCCGAAUGCCAAUUAAUUUAACUUGGGAGUCAGAACAUGGGUGAUAAGGUCCGUGUUCGAAAGGGAAACAGCCCAGACCACCAGCUAAGGUCCCAAAAUAUAUGUUAAGUGGAAAAGGAUGUGGCGUUGCCCAGACAACUAGGAUGUUGGCUUAGAAGCAGCCAUCAUUUAAAGAGUGCGUAAUAGCUCACUAGUCGAGUGACACUGCGCCGAAAAUGUACCGGGGCUAAACAUAUUACCGAAGCUGUGGAUUGUCCUUUGGACAAUGGUAGGAGAGCGUUCUAAGGGCGUUGAAGCAUGAUCGUAAGGACAUGUGGAGCGCUUAGAAGUGAGAAUGCCGGUGUGAGUAGCGAAAGACGGGUGAGAAUCCCGUCCACCGAUUGACUAAGGUUUCCAGAGGAAGGCUCGUCCGCUCUGGGUUAGUCGGGUCCUAAGCUGAGGCCGACAGGCGUAGGCGAUGGAUAACAGGUUGAUAUUCCUGUACCACCUAUAAUCGUUUUAAUCGAUGGGGGGACGCAGUAGGAUAGGCGAAGCGUGCGAUUGGAUUGCACGUCUAAGCAGUAAGGCUGAGUAUUAGGCAAAUCCGGUACUCGUUAAGGCUGAGCUGUGAUGGGGAGAAGACAUUGUGUCUUCGAGUCGUUGAUUUCACACUGCCGAGAAAAGCCUCUAGAUAGAAAAUAGGUGCCCGUACCGCAAACCGACACAGGUAGUCAAGAUGAGAAUUCUAAGGUGAGCGAGCGAACUCUCGUUAAGGAACUCGGCAAAAUGACCCCGUAACUUCGGGAGAAGGGGUGCUCUUUAGGGUUAACGCCCAGAAGAGCCGCAGUGAAUAGGCCCAAGCGACUGUUUAUCAAAAACACAGGUCUCUGCUAAACCGUAAGGUGAUGUAUAGGGGCUGACGCCUGCCCGGUGCUGGAAGGUUAAGAGGAGUGGUUAGCUUCUGCGAAGCUACGAAUCGAAGCCCCAGUAAACGGCGGCCGUAACUAUAACGGUCCUAAGGUAGCGAAAUUCCUUGUCGGGUAAGUUCCGACCCGCACGAAAGGCGUAACGAUUUGGGCACUGUCUCAACGAGAGACUCGGUGAAAUCAUAGUACCUGUGAAGAUGCAGGUUACCCGCGACAGGACGGAAAGACCCGUGGAGCUUUACUGUAGCCUGAUAUUGAAAUUCGGCACAGCUUGUACAGGAUAGGUAGGAGCCUUUGAAACGUGAGCGCUAGCUUACGUGGAGGCGCUGGUGGGAUACUACCCUAGCUGUGUUGGCUUUCUAACCCGCACCACUUAUCGUGGUGGGAGACAGUGUCAGGCGGGCAGUUUGACUGGGGCGGUCGCCUCCUAAAAGGUAACGGAGGCGCUCAAAGGUUCCCUCAGAAUGGUUGGAAAUCAUUCAUAGAGUGUAAAGGCAUAAGGGAGCUUGACUGCGAGACCUACAAGUCGAGCAGGGUCGAAAGACGGACUUAGUGAUCCGGUGGUUCCGCAUGGAAGGGCCAUCGCUCAACGGAUAAAAGCUACCCCGGGGAUAACAGGCUUAUCUCCCCCAAGAGUUCACAUCGACGGGGAGGUUUGGCACCUCGAUGUCGGCUCAUCGCAUCCUGGGGCUGUAGUCGGUCCCAAGGGUUGGGCUGUUCGCCCAUUAAAGCGGUACGCGAGCUGGGUUCAGAACGUCGUGAGACAGUUCGGUCCCUAUCCGUCGUGGGCGUAGGAAAUUUGAGAGGAGCUGUCCUUAGUACGAGAGGACCGGGAUGGACAUACCUCUGGUGUACCAGUUGUCGUGCCAACGGCAUAGCUGGGUAGCUAUGUGUGGACGGGAUAAGUGCUGAAAGCAUCUAAGCAUGAAGCCCCUCAAGAUGAGAUUUCCCAACUUCGGUUAUAAGAUCCCUCAAAGAUGAUGAGGUUAAUAGGUUCGAGGUGGAAGCAUGGUGACAUGUGGAGCUGACGAAUACUAAUCGAUCGAAGACUUAAUCAAAUU